ensembl:lncRNA
GAUGGGAGAUGAUAAGGAAACACAGGACUUUCCAGUGUGCAGUCUUCGAGAAAGGCUGACAGUGUGUCACGUCCCUUGGUGGUGUGAGAAAACAGACCUGAGAAGCAGUGUCUUUGCUCAGUCUCUCCACGUGUUUGUGGCAUGUUCCUCAGCUUGGAACCCCCCUGGGUCCUGGCCUGGUGAGCAUUCCUCCCCAGCUCCCCGACACCUGCUUUCGGUACAGGAAACUUGUCAGGGGUGCACCAACUGUGUUCCGUGUGGUCACAUGACCUGGGUCAGUCUCACGCCAGCCGUUCCCUGGAAGUCACCCGGGGUAGACCGAGUAUCCCCUUUGCACGUGGGGCUGUGCCGACGGAGGCAUUCUUCAGCAUGAGUCCUCAGUUGACUGAUGAAUACAAAACGCCUCUGGGAACAAAAGGCAUUCAAGAUUCGCUGAAGACAAGACAACCUACUUUGGUUUCUGUGUCUGGUACCGGGGUAUCAGCGGAGAUAAAGCCCUGAGUGACAGGGAAGCGAAAUACAGAAUAACACCCUCUAUUGUUCUCCCAUUGACGGUACGUAUAAUGGGAAAGUUAGCGAGUCACCGUAAUGUCAUGGACCGCUGUGAACUUGGGAGAACUCAAGGAUCAGAAAGUAACAUGAAACAAGGAGGGAAAGCAAGAUAAUAUUGGGUUACUGAACAUUCUCAAAUUGUACUGAAACGCAUCCCAUCCCUUUGGAGGGGGCAUGUUUUUGACCAGGAAGACAAUGGGCAGAAACUGGCGGCUGUAACGAUAUCACCAUUUUCUUUUGCUACGGGCCGUAAUGUGAACUCCUUAGAAGACACCUUCUUUCACCACAGCUUUGUUGUUGGGGCUAUUGAGGAGCCCAGAGACCAAAGUCGCUGCCUUGUUCCGGGAUCAUCUAAAACCAAGGAGGCUGG